rnacentral:sRNA from 1 species
GCCGGGCAUGUUGGCUCAUUUCUGUAAUCCCAGCAGCUCGGGAGGCUGAGAUAGGGGGAAUGGUGAGUUCAAAGCCAGCCUGAGCAAUUUAACGAGGCUCUAAGCAACUUAGCGAGACCCUGUCUCUA